UUUGUAUUACGAGCGGAAAUUGUUACCAUUUUCGGCUCAAAAAUGGUAACAAUUUCCACACGUAAUACAAA
rnacentral:miRNA from 1 species